AACGAACGCUGGCGGCAUGCCUAACACAUGCAAGUCGAACGAGACCUUCGGGUCUAGUGGCGCACGGGUGCGUAACGCGUGGGAACCUGCCCUUAGGUUCGGAAUAACUCCCCGAAAGGGGUGCUAAUACCGGAUAAUGUCUUCGGACCAAAGAUUUAUCGCCUUUGGAUGGGCCCGCGUUGGAUUAGCUGGUUGGUAGGGUAAAAGCCUACCAAGGCGACGAUCCAUAGCUGGUCUGAGAGGAUGAUCAGCCACACUGGGACUGAGACACGGCCCAGACUACUACGGGAGGCAGCAGUGGGGAAUAUUGGAAAAUGGGAGAAAGCAUGAUCCAGCAAUGCCGCGUGAGUGAUGAAGGCCUUAGGGUUGUAAAGCUCUUUUACACGGGAUGAUAAUGACAGUACCGGGAGAAUAAGCUCCGGCUAACUCCGUG
rnacentral:rRNA from 1 species